AACGAACGCUGGCGGCAGGCUUAACACAUGCAAGUCGAACGCUCGUAGCAAUACGGGAGUGGCGGACGGGUGAGUAACGCGUGGGAACGUGCCCUGAGGUACGGAAUAACUGCGGGAAACUGCAGCUAAUACCGUAUGAGCCCCGUGAGGGGGAAAGAUUUAUCGCCUUAGGAGCGGCCCGCGUCGGAUUAGCUAGUUGGUGGGGUAACGGCUUACCAAGGCUUCGAUCCGUAGCUGGUCUGAGAGGACGAUCAGCCACACUGGGACUGAGACACGGCCCAGACUCCUACGGGAGGCAGCAGUGGGGAAUCUUGCGCAAUGGGGGCAACCCUGACGCAGCCAUGCCGCGUGAAUGAUGAAGGCCUUAGGGUUGUAAAGUUCUUUUGCCCGUGACGAUGAUGACGGUAACGGGAGAAUAAGCUCCGGCUAACUUCGUGCCAGCAGCCGCGGUAAACUCGUCUUA
rnacentral:rRNA from 1 species